rnacentral:tRNA from 1 species
GGCCGUCCUGGUCGCGCGCGGCCUCGAGCCGGCGGACGUUGUCCGCCAGCGGCUCGUGGUUCGGGUCGUCGGCGUUCGGCUCGACGACGGCCACCA